GAACCUACAAGGUAGCGGACACCUACGGGCCGAGAGCUUACCGACUGGAGACUCUAGAAGGGGACGCCAUUCCCCGGACCUGGAAUACCAACAACCUAAAGUUGUACUACCAGUGAACCUUGUAUCCCCUCAUCUGGAAUACAAAUUCAGUUUCAAAACUUCAGAGUCUGGAAUCUCGACUCUUCGACUGUGGGUCGGCGUUCGUCAGAAGUACGAGCCCCGACG
rnacentral:lncRNA from 1 species